rnacentral:rRNA from 1 species
CCAACAGGGAUUGCCUCAGUAGCGGCGAGUGAAGCGGCAAGAGCUCAGAUUUGAAAUCUCACCUAGUGUGCGAGUUGUAAAUUGCAGGUUGGAGUCUCGGGUUAGACGUGUGUGCAAGUCCCUUGGAACAGGGUGCCACUGAGGGUGAGAGCCCCGUAGCGUGCAUGUCGACACCUGUGAGGCCCUUCUGACGAGUCGAGUUGUUUGGGAAUGCAGCUCUAAGUGGGUGGUAAAUUCCAUCUAAGGCUAAAUAUUGGCGAGAGACCGAUAGCGAACAAGUACUGUGAAGGAAAGAUGAAAAGCACUUUGAAAAGAGAGUGAAACAGCACGUGAAAUUGUUGAAAGGGAAGGGUAUUGGGCUCGACAUGGGAUUUACGCAUCGUUGCCUCUCGUGGGCGGCGCUCUGGGUUUUUCCUGGGCCAGCAUCGGUUUUCGUUGCAGGAUAAGGACAAUUGGAAUGUGGCUCCUCGGAGUGUUAUAGCCUUUUGUAGAUGCUGCGUAUGGGGACCGAGGGCUGCGGCGGACUCGUUUCGUCUCGGAUGCUGGCACAACGGCGCAAUACCGCCCGUCUUGAACACACGGGACCAAAAA